rnacentral:rRNA from 1 species
GACGAACGCUGGCGGCGUGCCUAAUACAUGCAAGUAGAACGCUGAAGAGAGGAGCUUGCUCUUCUUGGAUGAGUUGCGAACGGGUGAGUAACGCGUAGGUAACCUGCCUUGUAGCGGGGGAUAACUAUUGGAAACGAUAGCUAAUACCGCAUAACAAUGGAUGACACAUGUCAUUUAUUUGAAAGGGGCAAUUGCUCCACUACAAGAUGGACCUGCGUUGUAUUAGCUAAUAGGUGAGGUAAUGGCUCACCUAGGCGACGAUACAUAGCCGACCUGAGAGGGUGAUCGGCCACACUGGGACUGAGACACGGCCCAGACUCCUACGGGAGGCAGCAGUAGGGAAUCUUCGGCAAUGGGGGCAACCCUGACCGAGCAACGCCGCGUGAGUGAAGAAGAUUUUCGGAUCGUAAAGCUCUGUUGUAAGUCAAGAACGGGUGUGAGAGUGGAAAGUUCACACUGUGACGGUAGCUUACCAGAAAGGGACGGCUAACUACGU